rnacentral:rRNA from 1 species
GGGUCAGUAGGUUGGUCGUGCCACCGGUACGUACUGGUCUCACUGAUUCCUCCUUCCUGAAGAACCGUAAUGCCAUUAAUUUGGUGUUGCGGGGAAACAGGACUGUUACUUUGAAAAAAUUAGAGUGUUUAAAGCAAGCUAACGCUUGAAUACAUUAGCAUGGAAUAAUGAAACAGGACGAUCGAUCCUAUUUUGUCGGUUUCUAGGAUUGACGUA